rnacentral:rRNA from 1 species
ACAAUGGAGAGUUUGAUCCUGGCUCAGGAUGAACGCUAGCGGGAGGCCUAAUACAUGCAAGUCGAGCGGUAGAGUGACUUCGGUUGCUUGAGAGCGGCGAACGGGUGAGUAACGCGUACACAAUCUACCUUCAAGAGGGGAAUAGCCCUGGGAAACUGGGAUUAAUGCCCCAUGGCAUCACGAGACGGCAUCGUUUUGUGAUUAAAGCUGAGGUGCUUGAAGAUGAGUGUGCGUCUGAUUA